ACAGAGGUCUCAAGCGUUGUUCGGAUUCAUUGGACGUAAAGGGUGCGUAGGUGGUCGGGUAAGUCGGAUGUGAAAUCCCGGGGCUCAACCCUGGAACUGCAUUCGAUACUGCCUGGCUAGAGUACUGGAGAGGAGAUUGGAAUUUACGGUGUAGCAGUGAAAUGCGUAGAUAUCGUAAGGAAGACCAGUGGCGAAGGCGGAUCUCUGGACAGUUACUGACACUGAGGCACGAAGGCCAGGGGAGCAAACGGGA
rnacentral:rRNA from 1 species